UACGAAGGGGGGCUAGCGUUGCUCGGAAUCACUGGGCGUAAAGGGUGCGUAGGCGGGUCUUUAAGUCGGGGGGUGAAAUCCUGGAGCUCAACUCCAGAACUGCCUUCGAUACUGGCGAUCUCGAGUCCGGAAGAGGUGAGUGGAACUCCUAGUGUAGAGGUGGAAUUCGUAGAUAUUAGGAAGAACACCAGUGGCGAAGGCGACUCACUGGUCCGGUACUGACGCUGAGGUGCGAAAGCGUGGGGAGCAAACAGG
rnacentral:rRNA from 1 species